rnacentral:tRNA from 1 species
ACCUGGCUGGCUCAGUGGGAAGAGCGUGUGACUCUUGAUCUCGGGCUUGUGGGUUUGAGCCCCACAUUGGGUG